rnacentral:rRNA from 1 species
UACGAAGGGGGCUAGCGUUGCUCGGAAUCACUGGGCGUAAAGGGUGCGUAGGCAGGUCUUUAAGUCAGGGGUGAAAUCCCGGGGCUCAACCUCGGAACUGCCUUUGAUACUGCAAAUCUCGAGUCCGGAAGAGGUGAGUGGAAUUCCUAGUGUAGAGGUGAAAUUCGUAGAUAUUAGGAAGAACACCAGUGGCGAAGGCGGCUCACUGGUCCGGUACUGACGCUGAGGUGCGAAAGCGUGGGGAGCAAACAGG